rnacentral:rRNA from 1 species
GACGUAGGGGGCCAGCGUUGUUCGGAAUUACUGGGUGUAAAGGGUUCGUAGGCGGUGUGGCAAGUCGGGAGUGAAAUCUCUGGGCUCAACCCAGAGACUGCUUCCGAAACUGCUGUGCUUGAGUGUGAGAGAGGCUCGUGGAAUUGCAGGUGUAGCGGUGAAAUGCGUAGAUAUCUGCAGGAACACCCGUGGCGAAAGCGGCGAGCUGGAUCACUACUGACGCUGAGGAACGAAAGCCAGGGGAGCAAACGGG